UGUGAUCCAACUGACCGGCUGUAAGGAAGGAUCUGUGGUAGACAGAGGGCUGACAGAGGGAUUAUGACAGGAGAGAAACGUGCUAUAGGCACUGCAGCUGAGACUGAACAUUGCAUGAUCAGACAAAAGUAACCUGUUAGGAAUUACCAAAUAUCAAAGGGAUCCACACCAUAUAAGUAAGGCUACAUCUUUCCCUGUGUCCUGUGUUCUGCUGAUUUACAGGAAGAAACCAGAGCACUCGGAGGAAACCCACACAACACAGGGAGAAUAUACAAACUCCACACAGUUAGGGCCAUGUUGGGAAUUGAACCCAUGACCUCAGUGCUGUCAGACAGUAAUGCUUACC